rnacentral:rRNA from 1 species
CAGUAGCCACGGUAAAACGGAGGGAGCUAGCGUUAUUCGGAAUUACUGGGUGUAAAGCGCACGUAGGCGGCUCUGUAAGUUAGAGGUGAAAGCCUGGAGCUCAACUCCAGAAUUGCCUUUAAGACUGCAUCGCUUGAAUCCAGGAGAGGUGAGUGGAAUUCCGAGUGUAGAGGUGAAAUUCGUAGAUAUUCGGAAGAACACCAGUGGCGAAGGCGGCUCACUGGACUGGUAUUGACGCUGAGCUGCGAAAGCGUGGGGAGCAAACAGGAUUAGAUACCCCAUAGUCCCUGUCUCUUAUACA